UUGGCUAAUGUACAAAUGAUUGGUUUAUUUACCUCAAACACUGCCUGGAGAAGGUGGAAGACUGUACCACAAGAGUUCUCAUGCUCAUGGAACUAGUAACUUUUGGGUGACUUCAAGUCUUACCUAUUCUCCCAGAUAUUUGGUUAUACCAAUAAGAAAAGGAUCAAAUACUGAAAACUGGAAUCAGGGAUGAGGUUAUUGCUCUGAAAAAAGCCUAUGUAGGACUUUGAAACUGGUGUAGACAGAAUAUGGAAGAUGCCAGGAGGCUCGAUAAGCCCUAAAAUGCUGCAAGGAGAGCUUAAAAAUUGUUCUGGAAUGAACAUGGAAGAUCAGGAUGCUAAGAGAAAUAAGGACAAUAGAUUGUUCUCAUGACGUUCAAAGCAGAAUGAAGAACCCUUGGAAACUGGACUACAGGCCACUCAUGGCAGAAAAAUGCAAGGAUUAUGGGGGUCAUGAAAGCCUGCUUACAUGGAAGUUCCAGAAAGUCACUGAGUACAUUAAAGUAUUGAUUGGACUUCAUGAAAAAGACAGCACAGCAGUAGUUCAACUGUUGCUGGCUAAUGAGUAGCAGACAGAAGAGGUGGGUUCAACACGUAAAGGAUGCAUUCUCACCCAUGGAAUGGAUAAAGUUGCAGCAGGACUUGAGAAACAGUGGAGAAGAAUGGGUUUCUCACACAGUCCCCACAGAAGACCUGAAGUGUGAAAAGAUA